GUGCACUCACAGGUGUGCAGCUGGCUCGGAGCAGGAUGCAAGGGGUGUACUGACAUGAGCAAGAAGACAGCACACAGGCAGACGUAGCAGGCAUGUGUGUGCAUGUCCACAGGGACAUGUGCAUGUGUGAUCCGGCGCAGGAGCACAUGCAGGCUUGUGGAGGGAGCAAAGGUUCAAGGCCAGCAUUCUCUUGGGAAUGCAGGUGCACUGAGCUCCAGCUGCAAGGCAGAGGGGGAAAAAGCAUUGAGACUGGAGGCAAAAGAUCCUAGGUUUGAAUGCUAAGCUGUAUGACACUGCCACAUUAGCUAACCUCUCUGGGCUUCGGUCUCUUCACCUGGAAGAUAAAGAUGAGAAAACUGAGGCGCUUUCCUCUGAAGAGCUGGACUCAUGGCAGCGACUGCACAAGCACUGGCCGUGGGGUGGGGGGUGCUUUCUCCUUCCUGUCAGAGGAAAGUGGUGCAAGCAGCAACUGUUCACAAGCUUCAGGAGACUGGCUAUCAGGAAGUGCUUAUUCCAAGCCAGCUGCACUCCCACCCCAGGCCCUUUGCACAUGCCAUGCUCUCUUCUUGGAAUGUUCUCCCCUGGUGUCCUCACUACCUUGCUUCAUUCAGGUCUCGGAGCAACUGUUCCCCAUUCCCACCCCUGCUGUUUCCAACACCAGAUCUUCGCUCUCUUGUCACUUAGCCAACUUGACCAAUGCUACCUGGCCUCGCUCAGUUAUUUAUCAUCGAGCCCCACCCCCUUACUCUACCCCCAGCAGAGAAGCAAAGCAGGAUUUAGCUUGCUCAGCCAUGUGACCCUGGGCGGGGGGCUAGGUACAAGGUGUGGGAAUGCCAGCUUGGGGCUGGAGACCAAGAAGAACGCCUGGAACAGAGCCAGGGUCAGGAUGCUGGUGGCCAGCAGGGGAGCCCCACCCAGACAGGGUGCUGGGGCUGUGCAAGACACAGACGAGGAAACUGAGGCUCAGAGAGGUGCAGUGAUCUGCCCAAGGUCACAACAGCAGGAC
rnacentral:lncRNA from 1 species